rnacentral:rRNA from 1 species
AACUGUUGACAUCGUGACGGUAUCCAACCAGAAAGCCACGGCUAACUACGUGCCAGCAGCCGCGGUAAUACGUAGGUGGCAAGCGUUGUCCGGAUUUAUUGGGCGUAAAGCGAGCGCAGGCGGUUUUUUAGGUCUGAUGUGAAAGCCUUCGGCUUAACCGGAGAAGUGCAUCGGAAACCGGGAGACUUGAGUGCAGAAGAGGACAGUGGAACUCCAUGUGUAGCGGUGAAAUGCGUAGAUAUAUGGAAGAACACCAGUGGCGAAGGCGGCUGUCUGGUCUGCAACUGACGCUGAGGCUCGAAAGCAUGGGUAGCGAACAGGAUUAGAUACCCUGGUAGUCCAUGCCGUAAACGAUGAGUGCUAAGUGUUGGAGGGUUUCCGCCCUUCAGUGCUGCAGCUAACGCAUUAAGCACUCCGCCUGGGGAGUACGACCGCAAGGUUGAAACUCAAAGGAAUUGACGGGGGCCCGCACAAGCGGUGGAGCAUGUGGUUUAAUUCGAUGCUACGCGAAGAACCUUACCAGGUCUUGACAUCUUCUGCUAACCUAAGAGAUUAGGCGUUCCCUUCGGGGACGGAAUGACAGGUGGUGCAUGGUUGUCGUCAGCUCGUGUCGUGAGAUGUUGGGUUAAGUCCCGCAACGAGCGCAACCCUUAUUGUCAGUUGCCAGCAUUUAGUUGGGCACUCUGGCGAGACUGCCGGUGACAAACCGGAGGAAGGUGGGGAUGACGUCAAAUCAUCAUGCCCCUUAUGACCUGGGCUACACACGUGCUACAAUGGACGGUACAACGAGUCGCGAAACCGCGAGGUCAAGCUAAUCUCUGAAAGCCGUUCUCAGUUCGGAUUGCAGGCUGCAACUCGCCUGCAUGAAGUUGGAAUCGCUAGUAAUCGUGGAUCAGCAUGCCACGGUGAAUACGUUCCCGGGCCUUGUACACACCGCCCGUCACACCAUGAGAGUUUGUAACACCCAAAGCCGGUGAGGUAACCUUCGGGAACCAGCCGUCUAAGGUGGGACAGAUGAUUAGGGUGAAGUCGUAACAAGGUAGCCGUAGGAGAACCUGCGGCUGGAUCACCUCCUUUCUAA